UACUCCUACGGGAGGCAGCAGUGGGGAAUCUUGCGCAAUGCGCGAAAGCGUGACGCAGCAACGCCGCGUGGGGGAAGAAGGUCUUCGGAUUGUAAACCCCUUUCAGUUGGGACGAAGCUUCGGGGGUUAAUAGCUCUCUGGAGUGACGGUACCUUCAGAAGAAGCCCCGGCUAACUACGUGCCAGCAGCCGCGGUAAUACGUAGGGGGCAAGCGUUGCCCGGAAUCAUUGGGCGUAAAGCGCGUGUAGGCGGUCCGGUAAGUCCGCUGUAAAAGUCGGGGGCUCAACCCUCGGAUGCCGGUGGAUACUGUCGGGCUUGAGUACGGAAGAGGCGAGUGGAAUUCCUGGUGUAGCGGUGAAAUGCGCAGAUAUCAGGAGGAACACCAAUUGCGAAGGCAGCUCGCUGGGACGUUACUGACGCUGAGACGCGAAAGCGUGGGGAGCAAACAGGAUUAGAUACCCUGGUAGUCCACGCUGUAAACGAUGGGCACUAGGUGUGGGGGGUGUCGACUCCCUCCGUGCCGAAGCUAACGCAUUAAGUGCCCCGCCUGGGGAGUACGGCCGCAAGGCUAAAACUCAAAGGAGUUGACGGGGGCCCGCACAAGCAGCGGAGCAUGUGGUUUAAUUCGACGCAACGCGAAGAACCUUACCUAGGUUUGACAUGUUCUUGACCGUCCUGGAAACAGGGCUUCCCUUCGGGGCAGGAUCACAGGUGGUGCAUGGCUGUCGUCAGCUCGUGUCGUGAGAUGUUGGGUUAAGUCCCGCAACGAGCGCAUCCCCCGUCGUAUGUUGCCAGCAUUUAGUUGGGGACUCAUGCGAGACUGCCGGUGACAAACCGGAGGAAGGUGGGGAUGACGUCAAGUCAUCAUGCCCCUUAUAUCUAGGGCUACACACGUGCUACAUUGGCGCGUACAGAGGGCUGCGAUACCGUGAGGUGGAGCGAAUCCCUUAAAGCGCGUCUCGGUUCGGAUUGCAGGCUGAAACCCGCCUGCAUGAAGGCGGAGUUGCUAGUAAUCGCGGAUCAGCAUUGCCGCGGUGAAUACGUUCCCGGGCCUUGUACACACCGCCCGUCACACCAUGGAAGCAAGUAACACCCGAAGCCGGUGGCCUAACCCGCAAGGGAGGGAGCUGUCGAAGGUGGGACUCGUGACUGGGGUGAAGUCGUAACAAGGUAGCCGUACCGGAAGGUGCGGCUG
rnacentral:rRNA from 1 species